UACGAAGGGGGCUAGCGUUGUUCGGAAUUACUGGGCGUAAAGCGUGCGCAGGCGGCUUCUCAAGUCAGGGGUGAAAGCCUCCAGCUUAACUGGAGAACUGCCAUUGAUACUGGAAGACUUGAGUACAGACGAGGUAGGCGGAAUUGACAGUGUAGCGGUGAAAUGCAUAGAUAUUGUCAAGAACACCGAUUGCGAAGGCAGCUUACUAGACUGUAACUGACGCUGAGGCACGAAAGUGUGGGGAUCAAACAGG
rnacentral:rRNA from 1 species